ACCAUCAUCAAAGUAAACCUGGAUCAUCAAUUAAUUCAGGUCAAAAAAGAACAAAAAAAUUGUUUGAAUGAAUUCCAAUUGUACUGGAAAAAUCUAACAGUAAUGAAAAAAAAGACAAGAAUUUCAUAGAACAAAAAUCCAUUGAUGAUGAUCAUUUAGUCGAAUGACCCAUAAGAUCCUACCAUGAAAGGAAAAAAUUAUUUAUUAAAUUAACAAAUUCAAUCAACGAGGGAAAAAAAAAUGAGAAAAAACUGAUAGUGUGACAUUGUUCUUUCCAUUAUUAUUACCAUUGUCCACACACACUGGUCUUUAAUUUGAUAUAAUUAUAUUCUUGCUUGUGGCCGUUGUUGUUCACACAACUAACUAGAGAGAAAGUCAUCCGAAUGAAAAAAUAAUUCCCCAUCAUUGAUUGUGGUUGUAAUGAUGAUGAUGAUGAUGAUAAUAGUAGUAGUGAGCCAACAAUGUUGUGGCCAUAUAAACUUGGUUAAUUUUGUUGAUUGAAAUCAAAUCUAUUAUUUGAAGAAGAGAAUGGUGGAAAAAAUACACAAAAUUCAUUUCAUUUUCAAUUCGACAAUUCAAUCCAUCCAUCUAAUAUAUGAAGACGAAAAACAAAGUCUCAAAUUGUUCACUCAUCCAUAAUUAUAGCGGAAAAGUGUAAAUUUUGGAACCUACUCACAACGGAACUGAAAUACAGAACAAGGACAUCAAUGAAAAGAAAAAUGAACUGGAAAAUCAAAAACAAAAAAUUUUUUUUUUUAGACAUUUUGCCCAAAUUGGAUAAUGUACAAAUGUGUUUGUGAUCACAAACACACACACACCUACAUAUGAAAGAAAGCUGUUAAUAACGAAAAAUCUCUGAAACAAUUUACUUUUUCAAUUUCGAAUAAAUAUGUGUGUGUGUGUGUGUGUGUCAACCGAACGAACAAACGAAGAAUAAUCAUUAAGAAUGCAAUAAUGGAAUAACGGGUAUCAUAUCAUUGCCGGCGAGAAUGAGAUAGCGAUAAAAUCAAAAAAAUUCAACUGGAACCAUAUAUAUGAAUAUUAAGCGAAAAAAAACUAUUCGAUAAUG